rnacentral:lncRNA from 1 species
UUUUUUUUUUUUUUUUUGAGACAGAGCCUUGCUCUGUCACCCAGGCUGGAAUGCAGUGGUGUGAUCUCAGCUGACUGCAAGCUCCACCUCCCGGGUUCAAGCGAUCCUCCUGCCUCAGCUACCCGAGUAGCUGGGAUUACAGGCGCCCACCACCACACCCGAGUAAUUUUUUGUAUUUUUAGUAGAGACAGGAUUUCACCAUGUUGGCCAGGCUGGUCUCAAACUCCUGACCUCAUGUGAUCCACCCACCUUGGCCUCCCAAAGUGCUGGGAUUACAGGCGUGAGCCACCGUGCCCGGCCAGAGCUGGUGUUUCUGACUCCUUCAGGGGACGUCCACAGUGCAUGCUACUGAGCAGAUGGAAGUCCUCCUCCAGCCAGUAACUCGGGGGCCCAGGCCUCCUCAUUGCACGAACCUGUCGCCUUCGCUGCCUGUUUCCAAGGUCACCCUGCCCAUUGGCUUGAAUCCAGCCAGUGGGAGGGACAGGAUCCCCACCGACAUUCCAUUGGCUAGAGUCUAAGCAUGCAGCCACACCUUGUCAUUGAGUGGGCAGAGAGAUGUCAUUGAGCUUUUUGCCCAGGAAGAAGAGAAAACGGGAUUGAUAAAGAACCAGUCUGUUUGUACAACAUUUGGGUUCUGGGAGAAUGGCAGGUCUAGGAAUUCCCUUCAAGUGCGGUAGCUGAUGGCCUGUGGACAGCAUUCCAGGUUCAGAAUACAGCCUGUUUACUGCAUUGCGUUCUCAGCUUCAGGACUAUAAUUUGGGGCCAAAAGAAAAAGCCCAACUCAAUAUCCUGCUAUAUAUGUAUAACUAGAAAAUACAUCGCUUUUCUUGAAAGGUGGGCGGAGGCUUUGGCAGGUGUCCUGUGACGAAGAUGGCUCUCGGAGAGCCACGGGUAAGUCACAUGGGUUCUGCUGUUUCUGAAAAUGCUGUGACCUGAUCUGAGGGAGUUGGCAGUUUCUACUCAUUAUUUUGUUGUGGUGGUGGUAGCUGGUGUGUAACCAUCAGGUUUCUGUGAGCACAGUAACAUUUGAAAUCCAGAAGUUUUGGGACACACGGAAGGGACCACUGAAUGAGGUGGUGAGGUGGUACCGCCCAGUGCACCAGGGCAAAGAUCACAGAGUGAGGCUGGUGAUGGGGC